UACGUAGGGGGCAAGCGUUGUCCGGAUUUAUUGGGCGUAAAGAGCGUGUAGGCGGCCAGAUAGGUCAGCUGUGAAAACUCGAGGCUCAACCUCGAGACGCCGGUUGAAACCAUCUGGCUAGAGUCCGGAAGAGGAGAGUGGAAUUCCUGGUGUAGCGGUGAAAUGCGCAGAUAUCGGGAGGAACACCGGUGGCGAAGGCG
rnacentral:rRNA from 1 species